CACGUAGGGGGCAAGCGUUGUCCGGAUUUAUUGGGCGUAAAGAGCUCGUAGGUGGUUCGGUAAGUCGGGUGUUAAACCCCCAGGCUCAACCUGGGGACGCCACUCGAUACUGCUGUGACUAGAGUCCGGUAGGGGAGCGUGGAAUUCCUGGUGUAGCGGUGAAAUGCGCAGAUAUCAGGAGGAACACCUGAGGUGAAGACGGGUUGCUGGGCUGACACUGACGCUGAGGCGCGAAAGCCAGGGGAGCAAACGGG
rnacentral:rRNA from 1 species